rnacentral:lncRNA from 1 species
CAGCAGGCUGAGGAGAGAAACCAAGUUCUCACAAUGAACUCACGUCCCCUAGAUUUCUCCCUAAUACCCAAACACAGAGUAUAUCGACACUAUAGACUAUAGACCUUCAUCCAACAUCAUGCAUUUUCUCUGACGGACUGACUGAAAAAUCCUCUAAAAUGAACUCAUUUAAAUGGAAUAAUACACUAAGAUGCUAAUUGCAGAGGGUCAGAUUUUUCAGGGUGUGGAUGUGAAUAUAUUUAUGUGCUUGUGAAACUUGAACCACACAUACAGUGACACCGGACUGCCAUUCAGCAUCCUGACCCAGCAGUAGGUGCAAGUGAUUAUGGGAUUUAUUUCUGUUAUCACAGCAUUGUCGUAUUAUAACUAGUUCAUUGUGUCUGCCAUGAUACACAAAUAGGGACUAGCGGACUAAGACUGUGCAUUUUGGAUGCCCACAUGAAACCACUUACCUGCAGCAACAUUCACAGCCUGUAGACAAAAAGAUAGAGUGAUGGAUGCGAAAACCAAAAUCCAAUUUCUCAGUUUCCACCUUACGGAGCGCGUUGGCCAAUCCAUAGUACCACAGCAACAACAAAAAAAAAAUCCUCUUAAAUCCAGAAAGGGUUAUUUAUAUGCUCUCCUCGUUUAUUUCCAUCAGUGAUCUUUUUCAGAAAAACCAGAGCCUUCUCAUCCUCUCUGCCUCUCCAGUCACUCUUUUCAGGGAAGGUGUUGGAUUUCAUGCACCAUCCGACUCCAAAAGAGCUGCGCAUACAAGAAGGCUGGGCAACCAGAGCGACGACCCACUGGAGGAAGAAAAUGUGACGCUGGAUGCUCUUCCAGACCUGCUCCUGGAACACACUGAUGAGCAUCGACGUUCAUUCCUGAUCAGUUAUCAUAAACAGGGUUCAGCCUUUUCCCCAUUAAUCAGGCUUCCUGACUUUUGACCCUCACAUGUCCACAGACUAUGAAUCCUUGGAACUGUUGCCGGUUUCCAGACUGCCUGGUCAUGACCCUCACCCGGACCUACAUUAUAAGACAGACUGCCCUCAAAAUUCCUGACGUGACAUUUGGGUAAGCAGUAUACUACUGGAACCUCAAACGAGACCCCAUCCACCGGAAGAACUUUCAAUCAGGCAUUAAUAAAACCAAUGAACGCAUUUAUUAUAGUCUGUUU